UACGGAGGAUGCAAGCGUUAUCCGGAAUGAUUGGGCGUAAAGCGUCCGCAGGUGGCAAUGUAAGUCUGCUGUCAAAGCGUCUGGCUCAACCAGAUAAAGGCAGUGGAAACUACAUAGCUAGAGUAAGGUAGGGGUAGAGGGAAUUCCUGGUGUAGCGGUGAAAUGCGUAGAGAUCAGGAAGAACACCGGUGGCGAAAGCGCUCUGCUUGGCCGCAACUGACACUGAGGGACGAAAGCUAGGGGAGCGAAUGGG
rnacentral:rRNA from 1 species